rnacentral:rRNA from 1 species
AGAGUUUGAUUCUGGCUCAGGAUGAACGCUAGCUACAGGCUUAACACAUGCAAGUCGAGGGGCAGCGAGAAGAAAGCUUGCUUCUUGUCGGCGACCGGCGCACGGGUGAGUAACGCGUAUCCAACCUUCCCCUUAGUAGGGCAUAGCCCGUAGAAAUGCGGAUUAAUACCCUAUGUGUUCGAUGCGGACAUCUAAGUUGAACCAAAGGUUUACCGCUAAGGGAUGGGGAUGCGUCUGAUUAGGCAGCAGGCGGGGUAACGGCCCACCUGGCCGACGAUCAGUAGGGGUUCUGAGAGGAAGGUCCCCCACAUUGGAACUGAGACACGGUCCAAACUCCUACGGGAGGCAGCAGUGAGGAAUAUUGGUCAAUGGGCGCGAGCCUGAACCAGCCAAGUAGCGUGCAGGGAAUGACGGCUCUAUGGGUUGUAAACUGCUUUUAUGCGGGGAUAAAGUGCGGCACGUGUGCCGUUUUGUAGGUACCGCAUGAAUAAGGACCGGCUAGUUCCGUGCCAGCAGCUGC